UUGAGUCUUUGUUCUUGUAAAACUCUGGUUCAGUUUGUGGAUUCAGCAGCUGGUUGAAGUGGUAGUAUUCCAGUAUUCCCAGUAUUCCCUCCUGUAGAUGUCCUCUCUCAGUGGAAGUGGUGGUUUUGGUCUGAAGGUGAAUCUUAUCGUCCGUCUCUCAGUGUGUGUGUGUGUGUGUGUGUGUGUGUGUGUAUGUGUGUGUUAGUAUCAGGAUCAGAGAACGACAGCUUUCCUUUGUUCCAGUCCAGAUUCACUCUGAUCCUCUGGAACUUCUUCUGCACUACGAGA